rnacentral:rRNA from 1 species
GAUGAACGCUGGCGGCGUGCCUAAUACAUGCAAGUCGAGCGAACAGAUGAGGAGCUUGCUCCUCUGACGUUAGCGGCGGACGGGUGAGUAACACGUGGAUAACCUACCUAUAAGACUGGGAUAACUUCGGGAAACCGGAGCUAAUACCGGAUAAUAUAUUGAACCGCAUGGUUCAAUAGUGAAAGACGGUUUUGCUGUCACUUAUAGAUGGAUCCGCGCCGCAUUAGCUAGUUGGUAAGGUAACGGCUUACCAAGGCAACGAUGCGUAGCCGACCUGAGAGGGGGAUCGGCCACAGUGGAAAGGAGAAACGGGCCAGACUCCUAGGGGAGGGAGGAGGAGGGAAUCUUCCGAAAUGGGCGAAAGCCUGACGGAGCAACGCCGGGGGAGGGAUGAAGGGCUUCGGAUCGUAAAACUCUUUUAUUAGGGAAAAAAAAAUGUGUAAGUAACUAUGCACGUUUUGACGGUACCUAAGCAGAAAGCCACGGCUAACUACGG